rnacentral:rRNA from 1 species
AGCCAUGGGCAGGUUGAAGGUUGGGUAACACUAACUGGAGGACCGAACCGACUAAUGUUGAAAAAUUAGCGGAUGACUUGUGGCUGGGGGUGAAAGGCCAAUCAAACCGGGAGAUAGCUGGUUCUCCCCGAAAGCUAUUUAGGUAGCGCCUCGUGAAUUCAUCUCCGGGGGUAGAGCACUGUUUCGGCAAGGGGGUCAUCCCGACUUACCAACCCGAUGCAAACUGCGAAUACCGGAGAAUGUUAUCACGGGAGACACACGGCGGGUGCUAACGUCCGUCGUGAAGAGGGAAACAACCCAGACCGCCAGCUAAGGUCCCAAAGUCAUGGUUAAGUGGGAAACGAUGUGGGAAGGCCCAGACAGCCAGGAUGUUGGCUUAGAAGCAGCCAUCAUUUAAAGAAAGCGUAAUAGCUCACUGGUCGAGUCGGCCUGCG